UACGAAGGGGGCUAGCGUUGUUCGGAUUUACUGGGCGUAAAGCGCACGUAGGCGGAUCGAUCAGUCAGGGGUGAAAUCCCAGGGCUUAACCCUGGAACUGCCUUUGAUACUGUCGAUCUCGAGUCCGGAAGAGGUGAGUGGAAUUCCGAGUGUAGAGGUGAAAUUCGUAGAUAUUCGGAGGAACACCAGUGGCGAAGGCGGCUCACUGGUCCGGUACUGACGCUGAGGUGCGAAAGCGUGGGGAGCAAACAGG
rnacentral:rRNA from 1 species